GGAUGUGAGAGUGAUCUGCCUACAACAUCUGUCACCCCAUUGAUCGCCAGGGUUGAUUUGACUGAUCGGACUGCCUAGCGGGUGUCCCCUUCCUCCCUCACCACUCCAUGAACAUCCCUCCUGAAGCUGCCUGCUUGGCCAAAGAAGAUGACCUUCCCCGAUAGAGAAGGACUGUUCUUUGGUCAAGGGUAUAUAAGAAGCUGUGCUCCCUGGCUAGAACCUCCAAAUAAGAAAAAGAAAAAUCUCUAAGUACUCUUUGUGUCUUUGUGUUUUUUAAAUUUUGUUUUGCUUUGUUUUAAAGUUUAUUUAUUUAU
ensembl:misc_RNA 7SK 7SK RNA